UGUUCUGUGGCUUAGUUGGUUAAAGCGCCGGUCUAGCGAAUACGAGGUCGUGGGUUCGAAUCCCAUCAGAACGC
rfam:Aedes albopictus isolate Foshan contig96424, whole genome shotgun sequence.